rnacentral:rRNA from 1 species
GACGAACGCUGGCGGCGUGCCUAAUACAUGCAAGUCGAACGCAUUUUCUUUCACCGUAGCUUGCUACACCGAAAGAAAAUGAGUGGCGAACGGGUGAGUAACACGUGGGUAACCUGCCCAUCAGCGGGGGAUAACACUUGGAAACAGGUGCUAAUACCGCAUAAUUCCAUUUACCGCAUGGUAGAUGGGUGAAAGGCGCUUUUGCGUCACUGAUGGAUGGACCCGCGGUGCAUUAGCUAGUUGGUGGGGUAACGGCCUACCAAGGCUGCGAUGCAUAGCCGACCUGAGAGGGUGAUCGGCCACACUGGGACUGAGACACGGCCCAGACUCCUACGGGAGGCAGCAGUAGGGAAUCUUCGGCAAUGGACGCAAGUCUGACCGGGCAACGCCGCGUGAGUGAAGAAGGUUUUCGGAUCGUAAAACUCUGUUGUUAGAGAAGAACAAGGAUGAGAGUGGAAAGUUCAUCCCUUGACGGUAUCUAACCAGAAAGCCACGGCUAGCUACGUG